UACGUAGGGUGCAAGCGUUGUCCGGAAUUAUUGGGCGUAAAGAGCUCGUAGGCGGCUUGUCGCGUCGGCUGUGAAAACCUGGGGCUCAACCCCGGGCCUGCAGCCGAUACGGGCAAGCUAGAGUUCGGUAGGGGAGACUGGAAUUCCUGGUGUAGCGGUGAAAUGCGCAGAUAUCAGGAGGAACACCGGUGGCGAAGGCGGCCCCCUGGACCGGUACUGACGCUGAGGCGCGAAAGCGUGGGUAGCAAACGGG
rnacentral:rRNA from 1 species